GACGAACGCUGGCGGCGUGCUUAACACAUGCAAGUCGAACGGAAAGGCACUGCUUUUGUGGGGUGCUCGAGUGGCGAACGGGUGAGUAACACGUGAGUAACCUGCCCUUGACUUUGGGAUAACUUCAGGAAACUGGGGCUAAUACCGGAUAGGAGCUCCUGCUGCAUGGUGGGGGUUGGAAAGUUUCGGCGGUUGGGGAUGGACUCGCGGCUUAUCAGCUUGUUGGUGGGGUAGUGGCUUACCAAGGCUUUGACGGGUAGCCGGCCUGAGAGGGUGACCGGCGACAUUGGGACUGAGAUACGGCGCAGACGCCAACGGGAGGCAGCAGUGGGGAAUAUUGCACAAGGGGCGGAAGCCUGAUGCAGCAACGCCGCGUGCGGGAUGACGGCCUUCGGGUUGUAAACCGCUUUCGCCUGUGACGAAGCGUGAGUGACGGUAAUGGGUAAAGAAGCACCGGCUAACUACGUG
rnacentral:rRNA from 1 species